rnacentral:rRNA from 1 species
CCUAACACAUGCAAGUCGAGCGAAUGGAUUAAGAGCUUGCUCUUAUGAAGUUAGCGGCGGACGGGUGAGUAACACGUGGGUAACCUGCCCAUAAGACUGGGAUAACUCCGGGAAACCGGGGCUAAUACCGGAUAACAUUUUGAACCGCAUGGUUCGAAAUUGAAAGGCGGCUUCGGCUGUCACUUAUGGAUGGACCCGCGUCGCAUUAGCUAGUUGGUGAGGUAACGGCUCACCAAGGCAACGAUGCGUAGCCGACCUGAGAGGGUGAUCGGCCACACUGGGACUGAGACACGGCCCAGACUCCUACGGGAGGCAGCAGUAGGGAAUCUUCCGCAAUGGACGAAAGUCUGACGGAGCAACGCCGCGUGAGUGAUGAAGGCUUUCGGGUCGUAAAACUCUGUUGUUAGGGAAGAACAAGUGCUAGUUGAAUAAGCUGGCACCUUGACGGUACCUAACCAGAA